CCUACGGGGGGCUGCAGUGGGGAAUAUUGGACAAUGGGGGCAACCCUGAUCCAGCCAUGCCGCGUGUGUGAAGAAGGCCCUCGGGUUGUAAAGCACUUUCAGUGAGGAAGAACGCCUGGUGGUUAAUACCCAUCAGGAAAGACAUCACUCACAGAAGAAGCACCGGCUAACUCCGUGCCAGCAGCCGCGGUAAUACGGAGGGUGCGAGCGUUAAUCGGAAUUACUGGGCGUAAAGCGCGCGUAGGUGGCUUGAUAAGCCGGUUGUGAAAGCCCCGGGCUCAACCUGGGAAUGGCAUCCGGAACUGUCAAGCUAGAGUGCAGGAGAGGAAGGUAGAAUUCCCGGUGUAGCGGUGAAAUGCGUAGAGAUCGGGAGGAAUACCAGUGGCGAAGGCGGCCUUCUGGACUGACACUGACACUGAGGUGCGAAAGCGUGGGUAGCAAACAGGAUUAGAUACCCGAGUAGUC
rnacentral:rRNA from 1 species